GNNCNUNNNGNUGCUNAUNCAUGCAGUCGAGCGCAGGAACCAGAUGACCCCUUCGGGGUGAUUCUGGNGGAAUGAGCGGCGGACGGGUGAGUAACACGUGGGCAACCUGCCUGUAAGACUGGGAUAACUUCGGGAAACCGGAGCUAAUACCGGAUAGUAUUUCCUUUCUCCUGAUUGGAAAUGGAAAGACGGUUUCGGCUGUCACUUACAGAUGGGCCCGCGGUGCAUUANCUAGUUGGUGGGGUAAUGGCCCACCAAGGCGACGAUGCAUAGCCGACCUGAGAGGGUGAUCGGCCACACUGGGACUGAGACACGGCCCAGACUCCUACGGGAGGCAGCAGUAGGGAAUCUUCCGCAAUGGACGAAAGUCUGACGGAGCAACGCCGCGUGAGCGAUGAAGGCCUUCGGGUCGUAAAGCUCUGUUGUUAGGGAAGAACAAGUACGAGAGUAACUGCUCGUACCUUGACGGUACCUAACCAGAAAGCCCCGGCUAACUACGUGCCANCAGCCGCGGUAAUACGUAGGGGGCAAGCGUUGUCCGGAAUUAUUGGGCGUAAAGGGCUCGUAGGCGGUUUCUUAAGUCUGAUGUGAAAGCCCACAGCUCAACUGUGGAGGGNCAUUGGAAACUGGGGAACUUGAGUGCAGAAGAGGAGAGUGGAAUUCCACGUGUAGCGGUGAAAUGCGUAGAUAUGUGGAGGAACACCAGUGGCGAAGGCGACUCUCUGGUCUGUAACUGACGCUGAGGAGCGAAAGCGUGGGGAGCAAACAGGAUUAGAUACCCUGGUAGUCCACGCCGUAAACGAUGAGUGCUAGGUGUUAGGGGGUUUCCGCCCCUUAGUGCUGAAGUUAACGCAUUAAGCACUCCGCCUGGGGAGUACGGCCGCAAGGCUGAAACUCAAAAGAUUGACGGGGGCCCGNACAGCGGUGGAGCAUGUGGUUUAAUUCGAAGC
rnacentral:rRNA from 1 species